rnacentral:rRNA from 1 species
CUGGAGGUAUCAGAAGUGCGAAUGCUGACAUAAGUAACGAUAAAGCGGGUGAAAAGCCCGCUCGCCGGAAGACCAAGGGUUCCUGUCCAACGUUAAUCGGGGCAGGGUGAGUCGACCCCUAAGGCGAGGCCGAAAGGCGUAGUCGAUGGGAAACAGGUUAAUAUUCCUGUACUUGGUGUUACUGCGAAGGGGGGACGGAGAAGGCUAUGUUGGCCGGGCGACGGUUGUCCCGGUUUAAGCGUGUAGGCUGGUUUUCCAGGCAAAUCCGGAAAAUCAAGGCUGAGGCGUGAUGACGAGGCACUACGGUGCUGAAGCAACAAAUGCCCUGCUUCCAGGAAAAGCCUCUAAGCAUCAGGUAACAUCAAAUCGUACCCCAAACCGACACAGGUGGUCAGGUAGAGAAUACCAAGGCGCUUGAGAGAACUCGGGUGAAGGAACUAGGCAAAAUGGUGCCGUAACUUCGGGAGAAGGCACGCUGAUAUGUAGGUGAAGUCCCUCGCGGAUGGAGCUGAAAUCAGUCGAAGAUACCAGCUGGCUGCAACUGUUUAUUAAAAACACAGCACUGUGCAAACACGAAAGUGGACGUAUACGGUGUGACGCCUGCCCGGUGCCGGAAGGUUAAUUGAUGGGGUCAGCGCAAGCGAAGCUCUUGAUCGAAGCCCCGGUAAACGGCGGCCGUAACUAUAACGGUCCUAAGGUAGCGAAAUUCCUUGUCGGGUAAGUUCCGACCUGCACGAAUGGCGUAAUGAUGGCCAGGCUGUCUCCACCCGAGACUCAGUGAAAUUGAACUCGCUGUGAAGAUGCAGUGUACCCGCGGCAAGACGGAAAGACCCCGUGAACCUUUACUAUAGCUUGACACUGAACAUUGAGCCUUGAUGUGUAGGAUAGGUGGGAGGCUUUGAAGUGUGGACGCCAGUCUGCAUGGAGCCGGCCUUGAAAUACCACCCUUUAAUGUUUGAUGUUCUAACGUUGACCCGUGAUCCGGGUUGCGGACAGUGUCUGGUGGGUAGUUUGACUGGGGCGGUCUCCUCCUAAAGAGUAACGGAGGAGCACGAAGGUUGGCUAAUCCUGGUCGGACAUCAGGAGGUUAGUGCAAUGGCAUAAGCCAGCUUGACUGCGAGCGUGACGGCGCGAGCAGGUGCGAAAGCAGGUCAUAGUGAUCCGGUGGUUCUGAAUGGAAGGGCCAUCGCUCAACGGAUAAAAGGUACUCCGGGGAUAACAGGCUGAUACCGCCCAAGAGUUCAUAUCGACGGCGGUGUUUGGCACCUCGAUGUCGGCUCAUCACAUCCUGGGGCUGAAGUAGGUCCCAAGGGUAUGGCUGUUCGCCAUUUAAAGUGGUACGCGAGCUGGGUUUAGAACGUCGUGAGACAGUUCGGUCCCUAUCUGCCGUGGGCGCUGGAGAACUGAGGGGGGCUGCUCCUAGUACGAGAGGACCGGAGUGGACGCAUCACUGGUGUUCGGGUUGUCAUGCCAAUGGCACUGCCCGGUAGCUAAAUGCGGAAGAGAUAAGUGCUGAAAGCAUCUAAGCACGAA